GAUGAACGCUGGCGGCGUGCCUAAUACAUGCAAGUCGAGCGAAUGGAUUAAGAGCUUGCUCUUAUGAAGUUAGCGGCGGACGGGUGAGUAACACGUGGGUAACCUGCACAUAAGACUGGGAUAACUCCGGGAAACCGGGGCUAAUACCGGAUAACAUUUUGAACCGCAUGGUUCGAAAUUGAAAGGCGGCUUCGGCUGUCACUUAUGGAUGGACUGGCGUCGCAUUAGCUAGUUGGAGAGGUAACGGCUCACCAAGGCAACGAUGCGUAGCCGACCUGAGAGGGUGAUCGGCCACACUGGGACUGAGACACGGCCCAGGCUCCUACGGGAGGCAGCAGUAGGGAAUCUUCCGCAAUGGACGAAAGUCUGACGAAGCAACGCCGCGUGAGUGAUGAAGGCUUUCGGGUCGUAAAACUCUGUUGUUAGGGAAGAACAAGUGCUAGUUGAAUAAGCUGGCACCUUGACGGUACCUAACCAGAAAGCCACGGCUAACUACGUGCCAGCAGCCGCGGUAA
rnacentral:rRNA from 1 species